GACGAACGCUGGCGGCGUGCUUAAUACAUGCAAGUCGAACGGAAAGGCCCUGCUUUUGUGGGGUGCUCGAGUGGCGAACGGGUGAGUAACACGUGAGUAACCUGCCCUUGACUUUGGGAUAACUUCAGGAAACUGGGGCUAAUACCGGAUAGGAGCUCCUGCUGCAUGGUGGGGGUUGGAAAGUUUCGGCGGUUGGGGAUGGACUCGCGGCUUAUCAGCUUGUUGGUGGGGUAGUGGCUUCCGAAGGUUUUGACGGGUAGUCGGCCUUGGAGGGUGACCGGGCACAUUAGGACUGCGGUAGGGAGCAGACUCGUACGGGAGGCAGUAGUGGGGAGUAUUGCACAGCGGGGCGGAGCCUGAUGCGGAGGUGCGGCGAGCGGGAUGCUGGCUUUCGGGUGGUGAACCGCUUUGGACUGAGACGAAGCGUGAGUGACGGUAAUGGGUAAAGAAGCACCGGCUAACUACGUG
rnacentral:rRNA from 1 species